rnacentral:rRNA from 1 species
GACGAACCGUGCGAACGUUAUUCGGAAUCACUGGGCUUAAAGCGCGUGUAGGCGGGCGGGCACGUCGGUACCUGAAAGCCCCCGGCUCAACCGGGGAAGCGGGGCCGAUACGACCGGCCUGGAGGGGCGUAGGGGGACCUGGAACUUCCGGUGGAGCGGUGAAAUGCGUUGAGAUCGGAAGGAACGCCCGUGGCGAAAGCGAGGUCCUGGACGCCUGCUGACGCUGAGACGCGAAAGCCAGGGGAGCGAACGGG